rnacentral:rRNA from 1 species
AGAGUUUGAUCCUGGCUCAGGAUGAACGCUAGCUACAGGCUUAACACAUGCAGGUCGAGGGGCAGCGGGUUGAAAGCUUGCUUUCAAUGCCGGCGACCGGCGCACGGGUGCGUAACGCGUAUCAAACCUGCCUCAUACUCGGGGAUAGCCUUGCGAAAGUAAGAUUAAUACCCGAUGUUGUUGCUUUCUCGCAUGGGAGAGUAACCAAAGAUUUAUCGGUAUGAGAUGGUGAUGCGUCCGAUUAGGUAGUAGGCGGGGUAACGGCCCACCUAGCCUUCGAUCGGUAGGGGUUCUGAGAGGAAGGUCCCCCACACUGGAACUGAGACACGGUCCAGACUCCUACGGGAGGCAGCAGUGAGGAAUAUUGGUCAAUGGGCGAGAGCCUGAACCAGCCAAGUAGCGUGCAGGAUGACGGCCCUCCGGGUUGUAAACUGCUUUUAGUUGGGAAUAAAAAAAGGGACUUGUCCCUUCUUGUAUGUACCUUCAGAAAAAGGACCGGCUAAUUCCGUGCCAGCAGCCGCGGUAAUACGGAAGGUCCAGGCGUUAUCCGGAUUUAUUGGGUUUAAAGGGAGCGUAGGCGGAUUGUUAAGUCAGCGGUUAAAGGGUGUGGCUCAACCAUGCAUUGCCGUUGAAACUGGCGAUCUUGAGUGCAGACAGGGAUGCCGGAAUUCGUGGUGUAGCGGUGAAAUGCUUAGAUAUCACGAAGAACUCCGAUCGCGAAGGCAGGUGUCCGGGCUGCAACUGACGCUGAGGCUCGAAAGUGUGGGUAUCAAACAGGAUUAGAUACCCUGGUAGUCCACACAGUAAACGAUGUAUACUCGCGGUUUGCGAUAGACAGUAAGCCGCCCAAGCGAAAGCAUUAAGUAUACCACCUGGGGGAGUACGCCGGCAACGGUGAAACUCAAGGAAUUGACGGGGGCCCGCACAGCGGAGGAACAUGUGGUUUAAUUCGAUGAUACGCGAGGGAACCUUAUCUCGGGCUUGAACUAAACGGGUGACCGAUCUAAGAUAGAUUUUUUCUUCUGGA